GGGUUGUAAACUUCUUUUAUAUUAGAAUAAAGUGCAGUAUGUAUACUGUUUUGUAUGUAUAAUAUGAAUAAGGAUCGGCUAACUCCGUGCCAGCAGCCGCGGUAAUACGGAGGAUCCGAGCGUUAUCCGGAUUUAUUGGGUUUAAAGGGAGCGUAGGUGGACUGGUAAGUCAGUUGUGAAAGUUUGCGGCUCAACCGUAAAAUUGCAGUUGAUACUGUCAGUCUUGAGUACAGUAGAGGUGGGCGGAAUUCGUGGUGUAGCGGUGAAAUGCUUAGAUAUCACGAAGAACUCCGAUUGCGAAGGCAGCUCACUGGACUGCAACUGACACUGAUGCUCGAAAGUGUGGGUAUCAAACAGGAUUAGAUACCCUGGUAGUCCACACAGUAAA
rnacentral:rRNA from 1 species